ACUCAAAUGAAUUGACGGGGACCCGCACAAGCGGUGGAGCAUGUGGUUUAAUUCGACGCAACGCGAAGAACCUUACCUGGGUUAAAUCAUGAGUGUAAGGUCGAGAGAUCGGCCCCCCGGGCAACCGGCGCUUAUGAAGGUGCUGCAUGGCUGUCGUCAGCUCGUGUCGUGAGAUGUUGGGUUAAGUCCCGCAACGAGCGCAACCCUUACCACUAGUUGCCAGCAUUUAGUUGGGCACUCUAGCGGAACUGCCGGUGAUAAACCGGAGGAAGGUGGGGAUGACGUCAAGUCAUCAUGGCCUCUAUGUCCAGGGCUACACACGUGCUACAAUGGCCGGUACAAACCGUCGCGAACCCGCGAGGGGGAGCCAAUCGGAAAAAGCCGGUCUCAGUUCGGAUUGGAGUCUGCAACUCGACUCCAUGAAGUUGGAAUCGCUAGUAAUCGCAGAUCAGCACGCUGCGGUGAAUACGUUCCCGGGUCUUGCACACACCGCCCGU
rnacentral:rRNA from 1 species